UACAGAGGUCCCAAGCGUUGUUCGGAUUCACUGGGCGUAAAGGGUGCGUAGGUGGUGAGGUAAGUCGGAUGUGAAAUCUCCGGGCUCAACCCGGAAAUGGCAUUGGAAACUACCUUGCUAGAGGAUUUGAGGGGGGAUUGGAAUACUUGGUGUAGCAGUGAAAUGCGUAGAUAUCGUGAGGAACACCAGAGGCGAAGGCGGCUUCCUGGACAAUUGCUGACGCUCAGGCACGAAAGCGUGGGGAGCAAAAGGG
rnacentral:rRNA from 1 species